GUGCUCGCUUCAGCAGCACAUAUACUAAAAUUGGAAUGAUGCAGAGAAGAUUAGCAUGGCCCCUGCGCAAGGACGGCAUGCAAAUUCUUGAAGUGUUCCAUAUUUUU
rnacentral:snRNA from 1 species